rnacentral:rRNA from 1 species
GUAGGGAAUCUUCCGCAAUGGACGAAAGUCUGACGGAGCAACGCCGCGUGAGUGAUGAAGGCUUUCGGGUCGUAAAACUCUGUUGUUAGGGAAGAACAAGUGCUAGUUGAAUAAGCUGGCACCUUGACGGUACCUAACCAGAAAGCCACGGCUAACUACGUGCCAGCAGCCGCGGUAAUACGUAGGUGGCAAGCGUUAUCCGGAAUUAUUGGGCGUAAAGCGCGCGCAGGUGGUUUCUUAAGUCUGAUGUGAAAGCCCACGGCUCAACCGUGGAGGGUCAUUGGAAACUGGGAGACUUGAGUGCAGAAGAGGAAAGUGGAAUUCCAUGUGUAGCGGUGAAAUGCGUAGAGAUAUGGAGGAACACCAGUGGCGAAGGCGACUUUCUGGUCUGUAACUGACACUGAGGCGCGAAAGCGUGGGGAGCAAACAGGAUUAGAUACCCUGGUAGUCCACGCCGUAAACGAUGAGUGCUAAGUGUUAGAGGGUUUCCGCCCUAUAGUGCUGAAGU